rnacentral:misc_RNA from 1 species
AUUCUGGGCCUGAAACGCCGCUCCCUCCGCCGCCUCCCCCUCCUAUGGCCUUUGGUUUCUCAAAGAGUACUUUUACUUAUGAGGAAUUGGCAAUGGCGACGGAUGGCUUCUCGGAUGCAAAUCUCCUCGGACAAGGUGGAUUCGGAUAUGUGCAUAGAGGAGUUCUUCCUAAUGGAAAGGAAGUUGCAGUCAAGCAGUUGAAAGCUGGGAGCGGG